UAAGUUUCAUAUAAAAGACACUCCAUUGUAGAAGGAGAAGAAACCUCCAUAAGGAGAGAUUGGAGAGAAACUACAAUCCAAUGAAUUACAAUGUGUAUACCGUCUUGUCUUUAUAGAAGAAAGACCAACUAACUAACCUAACAACUAAUCUACUAACUGAACUAAACUAACUAACACAACUGUGGAAAACUGGAGACAGCUGGGAUCAUCCGUGUGAAGUCUGGAGAGUGAAUCUGAUCAAUUGGAAUUAAGAUCUCUGGGAUCAAGAAUCUGGAAGUUAAGUUGGAAGAAAUCUGGUGCAUAUCUGCUGGAUAUCUGCUGGUUCUGAUAUUAAAUGGAAAAUCGAAAAGUUGAGAUUUUGAUUAAGUUUUGCAAGAUUUGCUCUUCAAAAUUAGUUGGGUUCUUCCUUUCAAAAGUGUUAAAGAUUGCAUUGCCAUAUUUUUCACGUUUAGAAGGCAAACAUUUUGUUUGAGCAUUGCAUAUAUGAUUU
rnacentral:lncRNA from 1 species